rnacentral:rRNA from 1 species
GGACUACCCGGGUUUCUAAUCCUGUUUGCUCCCCACGCUUUCGCACCUCAGCGUCAAUAUCUGCCCAGAUCGCCGCCUUCGCCACUGGUGUUCCUCCCGAUAUCUACGAAUUUCACCUCUACACCGGGAAUUCCGCGAUCCUCUUCAGUAUUCAAGUCCAGUAGUUUCGAAUGCACUUCCUCAGUUAAGCCGAGGGCUUUCACACCCGACUUGCUGGACCGCCUACGUGCGCUUUACGCCCAAUGAUUCCGAGCAACGUUUGCACCCUCCGUAUUACCGCGGCGGCUGGCAC